GUCAAAAUUACGAUUUCUGUAAGUAUGCUUACUUUGCGAGAAAAAAAUGUAGCACCUAUGUUUAAUUCACAAUUUUCCAAUUGAUGUCAUAUUAACCUCAAUUGUAGAAUUCAAUGAAUUUCUUAUCAAAUUAUUUAAUAUUUGUUAUCAAUAAGGAAAUACAGAGGCACAUAGACAUGCAUAUGUCCCCAAAUCAUAGGUGCUAAAUAUUUUUCUACAAUUGAGGAAAUUCAUUGAAAUACAUAAUAUGAAAUCAUAAUAGGUGCACAUAGACAUAAAAUAUGUAGCAUCUAUGUUUAAUUCGCAAUUUUCGAAUUGAUGUCAUAUUAACCUCAAGUAGAGCACAUUAGAUUAGAAG
rnacentral:misc_RNA from 1 species